rnacentral:miRNA from 1 species
GCGACCCACUCUUGGUUUCC